ACGCUGGCGGCGUGCUUAACACAUGCAAGUCGAACGAUGAAGCCUAGCUUGCUAGGUGGAUUAGUGGCGAACGGGUGAGUAAUACGUGAGUAACCUACCUUUAACUCUGGGAUAAGCCUGGGAAACUGGGUCUAAUACCGGAUACGACCAAUCUCCGCAUGGGGUGUUGGUGGAAAGCGUUAUGUAGUGGUUAUAGAUGGGCUCACGGCCUAUCAGCUUGUUGGUGAGGUAACGGCUCACCAAGGCGACGACGGGUAGCCGGCCUGAGAGGGUGACCGGCCACACUGGGACUGAGACACGGCCCAGACUCCUACGGGAGGCAGCAGUGGGGAAUAUUGCACAAUGGGCGCAAGCCUGAUGCAGCGACGCCGCGUGAGGGAUGACGGCCUUCGGGUUGUAAACCUCUGUUAGCAGGGAAGAAGAGAGAUUGACGGUACCUGCAGAGAAAGCGCCGGCUAACUACGUGCCAGCAGCCGCGGUAAUACGUAGGGCGCGAGCGUUGUCCGGAAUUAUUGGGCGUAAAGAGCUUGUAGGCGGUUUGUCGCGUCUGCUGUGAAAGGCCGGAGCUUAACUCCGUGUAUUGCAGUGGGUACGGGCAGACUAGAGUGCAGUAGGGGAGACUGGAAUUCCUGGUGUAGCGGUGGAAUGCGCAGAUAUCAGGAGGGACACCGAUGGCGAAGGCAGGUCUCUGGGCUGUAACUGACGCUGAGAAGCGAAAGCAUGGGGAGCGAACAGGAUUAGAUACCCUGGUAGUCCAUGCCGUAAACGUUGGGCACUAGGUGUGGGGGACAUUCCACGUUUUCCGCGCCGUAGCUAACGCAUUAAGUGCCCCGCCUGGGGAGUACGGCCGCAAGGCUAAAACUCAAAGAAAUUGACGGGGGCCCGCACAAGCGGCGGAGCAUGCGGAUUA
rnacentral:rRNA from 1 species